UACAGAGGGUGCAAGCGUUAAUCGGAAUUACUGGGCGUAAAGCGUGCGUAGUCGGCCAUUCAAGUCGGGUGUGAAAGCCCCGGGCUCAACCUGGGAAUUGCAUUCGAUACUGUGUGGCUAGAGUUCGGCAGAGGGAAGUGGAAUUUCUGGUGUAGCGGUGAAAUGCGUAGAUAUCAGAAGGAACAUCAGUGGCGAAAGCGACUUCCUGGACCAGAACUGACGAUCAGGCACGAAAGCGUGGGGAGCAAACAGG
rnacentral:rRNA from 1 species